UACGGGAGGCAGCAGUGGGGAAUAUUGCUCAAUGGGGGAAACCCUGAAGCAGCAACGCCGCGUGAGUGAUGAAGGCCUUCGGGUCGUAAAGCUCUGUUGUACGGGAAAAAUGUGAGUGCAGCUAACAUCUGCAUUCAGUGAUGGUACCGUAUAAGAAAGGACCGGCUAACUUCGUGCCAGCAGCCGCGGUAAGACGGGGGGUCCUAGCGUUGUUCGGAAUCAUUGGGCGUAAAGCGUGUGCAGGUGGUUUGGUAAGUUGGAUGUGAAAGCCUUGGGCUUAACCCAAGAAGGGCAUUCAAAACUACCAAACUCGAGUAGGGAAGAGGGUCGUGGAAUUCCAGGUGUAGUGGUGAAAUACGUAGAUAUCUGGAGGAACACCGGUGGCGAAGGCGGCGACCUGGUCCUAUACUGACACUCAUACACGAAAGCGUGGGGAUCAAACAGGAUUAGAUACCCUGGUAGUCCACGCCGUAAACGAUGGAUACUUGGUGUUGAAGGUAUUGACCCCUUCAGUGCCGGAGCUAACGCGUUAAGUAUCCCGCCUGGGGAGUACGGUCGCAAGAUUAAAACUCAAAGAAAUUGACGGGGGCCCGCACAAGCGGUGGAGAAUGUGGUUUAAUUCGAUGCAACGCGAAAAACCUUACCUGGGUUUGGCAUCCUCUGAACGCCGUAGAGAUACGGAAGGCCCGAAAGGGACAGAGAGACAGGUGCUGCAUGGCUGUCGUCAGCUCGUGUCGUGAGAUGUUGGGUUAAGUCCCGCAACGAGCGCAACCCUUAUCUUUAGUUGCCAGCAUUAAGUUGGGCACUCUAAAGAGACUGCCAACGUUAAGUUGGAGGAAGGCGGGGAUGACGUCAAGUCCUCAUGGCCUUUAUAUCCAGGGCAACACACGUUCUACAAUGGCCGGUACAAAGCGUAGCGAAAUCGCGAGAUGGAGCCAACCGCAAAAAACCGGUCUAAGUUCAGAUUGGAGUCUGCAACUCGACUCCAUGAAGUUGGA
rnacentral:rRNA from 1 species